rnacentral:rRNA from 1 species
GAUGAACGCUGGCGGCGUGCUUAACACAUGCAAGUCGAACGAAGCACUUUAUUUGAUUUCCUUCGGGACUGAUUAUUUUGUGACUGAGUGGCGGACGGGUGAGUAACGCGUGGGUAACCUGCCUUGUACAGGGGGAUAACAGUUGGAAACGGCUGCUAAUACCGCAUAAGCGUCCAGCAUCGCAUCAUGCAGUGUGAAAAACUCCGGUGGUAUAGGAUGGACCCGCGUUGGAUUAGCUAGUUGGUGCGGUCACGGCCCACCAAGGCGACGAUCCAUAGCCGAGCUGAGAGGGUGACCGGCCACAUUGGGACUGAGACACGGCCGAGACUCCUACGGGAGGGAGCAGAGGAGAAUAUUGCAAAAUGGGCGAAAGCCUGAUGCAGCGACGCCGCGUAAGCGAAGAAGUAUUUCAGUAUGUAAAGCUCUAUCAGCAGGGAAGAUAAUGACGGUACCUGACUAAGAAGCACCGGCUAAAUACGUG